GUGGGGAAUAUUGGACAAUGGGCGAAAGCCUGAUCCAGUCAUGCCGCGUGUGUGAAGAAGGUCUUCGGAUUGUAAAGCACUUUAAGUUGGGAGGAAGGGCAGUAAGUUAAUACCUUGCUGUUUUGACGUUACCGACAGAAUAAGCACCGGCUAACUUCGUGCCAGCAGCCGCGGUAAUACGAAGGGUGCAAGCGUUAAUCGGCAUUACUGGGCGUAAAGCGCGCGUAGGGGGCUUUGUAAGUUGGAGGUGAAAUCCCCGGGCUCAACCUGGGAACUGCCUCAAAAACUGCAUGACUAGAGUACGGUAGAGGGUAGUGGAAUUUCCUGUGUAGCGGUGAAAUGCGUAGAUAUAGGAAGGAACACCAGUGGCGAAGGCGACUACCUGGACUGAUACUGACACUGAGGUGCGAAAGCGUGGGGAGCAAACAGGAUUAGAUACCCGAGUAGUCC
rnacentral:rRNA from 1 species